rnacentral:snoRNA from 15 species
UUUUGAGUUUUCUAAGUGUCUCAUGAUGAAAUUUCAUAGGGCAGAUUCUGAGAUGGGAAUUGAAUUCAUCACUGAUAAAUAUUCUGUGAAAUCUGAAGACACAUGAAAAACU